ACACGUCUCUGGAGAGUCCCAAUCGGGCGCCGAAGGUGCAAGGAAUACACUCUAUUCCAAUCUCUCAGGCAAAAGGACAGAGAAU
rnacentral:ncRNA from 1 species